rnacentral:lncRNA from 1 species
GUGGGGGUAGAGAUGUCCAUGACAGUGAAAUUUUAAGUAGAACACCUAGGUUGUGAGAGGAGACUAUGGUUCAAUUUUUAACUUAAUCGAAGUUUGUUUUACCAAGUUUCAAAAUCAUCAUAUUUUGGGCUUAGAAGUAAACCAAAUCAAGUCUAAUCAACUUGCAUGUGCAAAAAUUCAGCAAAUUGAGCUUGAAGAAUUCUAAUUGAACCCUCAAAUCCUUAAUUGGGGUAAAAGGAGGCCUAACUGGAAACUAGUAUUGAGUAUGAUCAAAUAGUCAAUUGAGUUAGAUUAGGUUAACUCUACUUAGCCCUAUCAAGACAAAUAAUGGAAUUAGUAUAAAUAUUGCUUAGUUGAACCUAAAAUCAGUCAAUCAAUGAUGUACUUAGGUAGAAAGAAGAGUAAAUUGGAUUCUAGAAUGGCAUAGGGUUGGUAGAAUCGAAUUUUUGGGAUGGGUAAUUUAGGAAUUAAAAUUGGGGGAAUGGGUUAAUUGAUGCAAUUGGAUGUAAUUGGGUUGAAUUAAGUAUGCAAUCGACUAAUUGGAAGUAGGAUGAGCAAGACUAACCAAUCUAGGGUUCACUGAAGUACGAGAAUUAGGUUAGUAGAGUGAAAGAUCCACCAAAACUAAGGAGCUUUCGAUUUAGAAGCAUUAUCCUUAUUCUAUUUAAAUCACAAAGCUUGGGAGAGGAUGCCUGAGGUGCCUAUAAUUCUCUAUAAAUUGAUGGCGCCUACGUUCAACCACAACUAAUUGUACUAUAUCUACAGGUUUAAGAUUAAUAUCGGUCACGAUCCAUGAUGACACAAACAUGUCACACAUUGUUCUAUUUAAUAGGCAUACAUAUAAUUAGA